GCUUAUCCUGGUCUACUGUUGGAAAGGAAAGCAUGGUCGGUGUUAAAGCGCUGGCACCCUCAGUGUUGACCUUUUGGAGUUUAGAGACAAAGAUGUUGGCUAGGGUAGCUACACUAGAACCGUCAAAACUAGUGUGAUCCGCUAGAAUGACUAACUGAGCGUUCUUAGUAAUGACCAACUGAAUCCCCUUAGCG
rnacentral:sRNA from 1 species